AUGGGUUCAUUUCACUCAGUGACAGAGGCACAUCGCAAGCCUUCAAAGGUUCUGGUGGCGUCGGAGCUGCCAAGCUGUCUGCGUGCGUGUGUUUGGUGUUGCGGACUAGCGACGGCAGUGGAAGUAUUGCUGUUGGGAGAUGAGUCCUCCUCCUGUGUUCUUUGGGAGAAUGCGCAGACGAGCACGAGGAAAAUAUUCAGAGCAGGAGUGUGGAUAAGCAGUCUCUACCGCAGCGGGAGGAGCCAGGACAGCUCAGUCGGUAUAGCAAAUAGCUACAAGCUGGAUUACUGGAGUUUGAUUCUUGGCAGGUGCAAGAUCGACUCUGGAGCCUACCCAGCCUUAUAUAAAUUGGCUGCCGUCGAUUCUUUCCCUGGAGAUAAGCGGACGUGGCGUGGAGCUGACCACACCUACAACUAGAGCCGAGGUUACGUCCUGGCGCUUCAGUCGCUAGACAGCACGAUGGCAGAUUAAUUGCAAAUGGAAGCAGUCGUAAGCUAAUAGAGGAGACCCGCAGCUGCAAACCGCAUGAUGACGUCUUUCUCGGCGCGACACAAUUCGACUGGCAGGCUGACUGUGCAUCAGGAGGCUGCGCCUCAGUAAGCACUGCCCUGUGGCUAGGAGCGCGGUAAUUCGUGCGCAAGGGACACUCGUGUAACUAUUCCACGGGAAAAUUCUGACAGUUCACAGCUGUAACUAGGUCUUCCACAGAAAACUCUCACCUGUCGCAACCCUUAAAAUAUCACAAUCUCAAUGAAUGUACACGCUCUGAAGUCGGAAGUUUCGGGAAACAAAGUGACACAGAAUAUGCAUAUGGCGUUUCUGUUAAGUCUAUGGUAUAUUAAAAUGUAAGUCUACUUACUUACUAACUA